rnacentral:rRNA from 1 species
CCUACGGGGGACAGCAGUGAGGAAUAUUGGUCAAUGGACGCAAGUCUGAACCAGCCAUGCCGCGUGCAGGAAGACGGCUCUAUGAGUUGUAAACUGCUUUUGUACGAGGGUAAACGCAGAUACGCGUAUCUGUCUGAAAGUAUCGUACGAAUAAGGAUCGGCUAACUCCGUGCCAGCAGCCGCGGUAAUACGGAGGAUUCAAGCGUUAUCCGGAUUUAUUGGGUUUAAAGGGUGCGUAGGCGGUCGGGUAAGUUAGAGGUGAAAUCCCGAGGCUCAACUUCGGAAUUGCCUUUGAAACUGUUCGGCUAGAGAGUGGUAGCGGUAGGCGGAAUGUGUGGUGUAGCGGUGAAAUGCUUAGAGAUCAUGCAGAACACCGAUUGCGAAGGCAGCUUGCCAGGCUACUUCUGACGUUGAGGCACGAAAGCGUGGGGAUCGAACAGGAUUAGAUACCCUAGUAGUC